AGUGAACGCUGGCGGUAGGCCUAACACAUGCAAGUCGAACGGCAGCACCGUAAGAGCUUGCUCUUACGGGUGGCGCGUGGCGGACGGGUGAGGAAUACAUCGGAAUCUACUUUUUCGUGGGGGCUAACGUCGGGAAACUUACGCUAAUACCGCAUACGACCUACGGGUGAAAGCAGGGGAUCUUCGGGCCUUGCGCGAUUGAAUGAGCCGAUGUCGGAUUAGCUAGUUGGCGGGGUAAAGGCCCAGCAAGGCGACGAUCCGUAGCUGGUCUGAGAGGAUGAUCAGCCACACGGGAACUGAGACACGGUCCAGACUCCUGCGGGAGGCAGCAGUGGGGAAUAUUGGACAAUGGGCGCAAGCCUGAUCCAGCCAUACCGCGUGGGUGAAGAAGGCCUUCGGGUUGUAAAGCCCUUUUGUUGGGAAAGAAAAGCAGCAGGUUAAUACCCCGCUGUUCUGACGGUACCCAAAGAAUAAGCACCGGCUAACUUCGUG
rnacentral:rRNA from 1 species